AAGAAGAUAAAAGAUAUACAAAAUUCGUAAGAAACGUGAUUGAAAAAAACGUGUCAAGAGAGAAAUAAAGAUAAAAGAAAAGGUUACAAAUUCAUUCUGUUUCGUGGAAAAUGCAAGGCACCAAACAUGAUAUGAAAAGCUUCUGAAGUCAAAUUGUUUGAAAGAUCUCAUCGAUGACGUCAAACACAAAUACAAUUCCAUUUCAAUCGAUGAUUACCAUUGCUUCAACGCACGCGAUACUUUUCAUAGAAAGAAGAUGCGAAGAAUUUAACUCUGAAGGUCGAACAUUUUUCUUCCUUGAAAACUACGUAUUUCUUGUCUCACGACUCGUAUGAUUUUAAUAACUGUUCAUUAUUACCUUCGAAGCGUUCUGUUCAUUUGAGUCUUUUUAUUCUUGAUCAGAAGUUUCGUGUUUGAUCUCCGAUAAACGUCACUAGCGGCAUGAAUCACUAGUGAACACAGUUCUCUGUUCUAUCCAAUUACACUCAUAGAUCGAAAAAUGGCAGAAGUGCACGUGCAUGAAAUGCACGUUCCAAUUUUUAAUUCACGCGAAUCAAUGCGUAGACACGGCACGGUCUAGACGUGACAUCAACAUCACAAUAAGGCGCGAUGAGUUGGCGUUCAGGAAUCCGUGAGAGAUAAACCAGGACUUUCUAGGAGGACGAGGGAGAAACGAAAGCAUCCCCCCAGCCCUUCGUGUUUUAUCUACUAGCAUCUUGGAAUGUCGAUGGUCCAUAUGCAGCCAGUUAAAAAUGAACAACAAAAAAGAGGAGAAAACAUAUCAGGACAUGAAAAGAGAAGAACAAUGCGACUAGUAUUUUAAAAAAGUCAAGUUGAACGAAGGAUAAUGCGUCAAUUAAAUGCAAAUAGGGAAGAUGUUAUUUGUGUCUGGCGGAGUAAAUCAAUUAUUAAACCACAACAAAAACAUAAAAAAUAAAUUAUUAAAUGAAGAUAUCAAAAAAAGAAACCUGUUAUUAACAUAAUAAUAUUUUUGUUUACUAAAAAGAAGAACGGAAAUUAAAAGGUAGAGAAGAAUGGAAUUGGAUCGAAAUGCAGACGAAUCAAACCGCACCCAUGGAACGAACAAUAAACAACGAGGUGGAGAAGGGACACAUUCCUUUCGUACGCGUGGAAACGCAUCGUGAAUGCUCAUCGGAUGAACUCCGAUUCGUUUUGCCUAUAGAAAAUACUGGCACGAUGCGUUCCUUCAAGUAUAGACACUAAUUUGUGCCGCUAAUGAACUCAGCGAGAAAAGCGAUCGUUUCUUUUCACGAUUUCUCCUGACAAUCAUGUGCGUCUGUGGUGGAGAACUGUGAUGUACAAUAUGUACAUCAGUUGUAAUUGCUGCUGUUACAAUUUUACAUUUUUACAUUUUACAAUGUUACAUUUUUUGACUUACCAUUUUUAUGAAAUGAAAUUACCUAAAAGUACAGUAGAACUCCAUUUAUCGCAAAGAUAAGAUGUGUAAAUUGGGAUAGAUCAUAUACAUAAUAAGAGUUCACUGAUUCUCCCAACCACUUGUGAUUUUUUGUUCAUAUAGUGGAAGAAUCAGUGAAUUCUUAUGAACUGCUUGCCCCCCAAUAUGUCCAUAUAAACGAAGUUCUACUAUAUCAUCAAAUACUUAUUUGAUUAUUCAAUAUUUUGGUAUUAAUGUCCAAGUGUAUAGGAAGCAUUGUUGCACUGAAGCAUUAUUUAGAGAAUUGCAUUUACGUACAGCUACGAGAAGCCAACGCAAUGUGCAAUCGGGUCAAGUUGUAAUACAUUUCAAUCACAUUUCGUAUAUCACAGGAAACUAAAUAAAAUUAACAUAUUGAGGUUAAUAUUCAUGUUACAUAAGUGUAGCAUGAUUAAUUGUAGAAAUUGAGUACAGAGGCUAAAUGCAUUACAGUAGAGGUAAGUACAAUGGAAAAACGAUGAACUUUGUUAUAAUUAAAUUCAGCUUCCGAUGGAUAGAGUUCGCGUUAAUUGUCGAUAGUAAUGUAUUACAUUAAUCUAGGACAUUUAGAACAAUACUCUGUUAAACAAAAGAAAAUUAUUUUAAUUAUUUAAAAUAUGUAAAAUUAAUAAAAAUAUUAUUUGAAAUAUUUAAAAAAAGUAGACCUUGGUACAAUAAUGUUUCCACAGACAACUGUCUACCUCUACCGGCAACUAGAUAAAUAACUCAUGCAUGAACUCUGCAGAUAUUUUCCAUUUUAAAAUAUGCAAAUACGCUUUUUAUAUAAAUCGUAUAGUAUCUC
rnacentral:lncRNA from 1 species